GCCUUCGUGGUGCAGUAGUCAGCACGCUCGACGCGUAUUCGAGAGGUCCGUGGUUCGAGUCCCGGCCAGGGCA
rnacentral:tRNA from 1 species